rnacentral:rRNA from 1 species
GAUAAACGCUGGCGGUGUGCCUAAUGCAUGCAAGUCGAACGGUCCUUCGGGACAGUGGCGAACGGGUGAGUAACACGUAAGCAACCUGCCCCUAAGUGGGGGAUAACUUCGGGAAACUGGAGCUAAUACCGCAUGUGGUGGCCCUUCAACAGAAGGGUCAUUAAAGCCUUCGGGCGCUUGGGGAGGGGCUUGCGUCUGAUUAGCUUGUUGGUGAGGUAACGGCCCACCAAGGCAAUGAUCGGUAGCUGGUCUGAGAGGAUGAUCAGCCACACUGGGACUGAGACACGGCCCAGACUCCUACGGGAGGCAGCAGCAAGGAAUAUUGUGCAAUGGGCGAAAGCCUGACACAGCGACACCGCGUGGGGGAAGAAGGUCUUCGGAUUGUAAACCCCUUUUCUCAGGGAAGAAUAAUGACGGUACCUGGGGAAUAAGUCUCGGCUAACUACGUGCCAGCAGCCGCGGUAAUACGUAGGAGGCAAGCGUUAUCCGGAUUUAUUGGGCGUAAAGCGCGUGUAGGCGGCUUUUCAAGUCGGAUGUAAAAUCUCCCGGCUCAACUGGGAGGGCCCAUUCGAUACUGUUGGGCUAGAGUGCAGCAGAGGGAGGUGGAAUUCCCGGUGUAGUGGUGAAAUGCGUAGAUAUCGGGAGGAACACCAGUGGCGAAGGCGGCCUCCUGGGCUGCAACUGACGCUGAGACGCUAAAGCGUGGGGAGCGAACAGGAUUAGAUACCCUGGUAGUCCACGCCGUAAACGAUGGACACUAGGUAUGGGGAGUAUCGACCCUCUCCGUGCCGUAGCUAACGCAUUAAGUGUCCCGCCUGGGGAGUACGGCCGCAAGGCUA